GAUGAACGCUGGCGGCGUGCCUAAUACAUGCAAGUCGAGCGAACGGACGAGAAGCUUGCUUCUCUGAUGUUAGCGGCGGACGGGUGAGUAACACGUGGAUAACCUACCUAUAAGACUGGGAUAACUUCGGGAAACCGGAGCUAAUACCGGAUAAUAUUUUGAACCGCAUGGUUCAAAAGUGAAAGACGGUCUUGCUGUCACUUAUAGAUGGAUCCGCGCUGCAUUAGCUAGUUGGUAAGGUAACGGCUUACCAAGGCAACGAUGCAUAGCCGACCUGAGAGGGUGAUCGGCCACACUGGAACUGAGACACGGUCCAGACUCCUACGGGAGGCAGCAGUAGGGAAUCUUCCGCAAUGGGCGAAAGCCUGACGGAGCAACGCCGCGUGAGUGAUGAAGGUCUUCGGAUCGUAAAACUCUGUUAUUAGGGAAGAACAUAUGUGUAAGUAACUGUGCACAUCUUGACGGUACCUAAUCAGAAAGCCACGGCUAACUACGUGCCAGCAGCCGCGGUAAUACGUAGGUGGCAAGCGUUAUCCGGAAUUAUUGGGCGUAAAGCGCGCGUAGACGGUUUUUUAAGUCUGAUGUGAAAGCCCACGGCUCAACCGUGGAGGGUCAUUGGAAACUGGAAAACUUGAGUGCAGAAGAGGAAAGUGGAAUUCCAUGUGUAGCGGUGAAAUGCGCAGAGAUAUGGAGGAACACCAGUGGCGAAGGCGACUUUCUGGUCUGUAACUGACGCUGAUGUGCGAAAGCGUGGGGAUCAAACAGGAUUAGAUACCCUGGUAGUCCACGCCGUAAACGAUGAGUGCUAAGUGUUAGGGGGUUUCCGCCCCUUAGUGCUGCAGCUAACGCAUUAAGCACUCCGCCUGGGGAGUACGACCGCAAGGUUGAAACUCAAAGGAAUUGACGGGGACCCGCACAAGCGGUGGAGCAUGUGGUUUAAUUCGAAGCAACGCGAAGAACCUUACCAAAUCUUGACAUCCUUUGACAACUCUAGAGAUAGAGCCUUCCCCUUCGGGGGGGCAAAGUGACAGGUGGUGCAUGGUUGUCGUCAGCUCGUGUCGUGAGAUGUUGGGUUAAGUCCCGCAACGAGCGCAACCCUUAAGCUUAGUUGCCAUCAUUAAGUUGGGCACUCUAAGUUGACUGCCGGUGACAAACUGGAGGAAGGUGGGGAUGACGUCAAAUCAUCAUGCCCCCUAUGAUUUGGGCUACACACGUGCUACAAUGGACAAUACAAAGGGCAGCGAAACCGCGAGGUCAAGCAAAUCCCAUAAAGUUGUUCUCAGUUCGGAUUGUAGUCUGCAACUCGACUACAUGAAGCUGGAAUCGCUAGUAAUCGUAGAUCAGCAUGCUACGGUGAAUACGUUCCCGGGUCU
rnacentral:rRNA from 1 species